GUAGUGGGGAGGUCAGUCUUGAUACAACUUUCUAGCUGAACAGAUCGUACUUUUUAAAGUUCCUCCGAUUUUUAAGCGUAGCCAAUAUUAAAUAAAAAAUCAAUUAUGUGUUCUAUGCUAAAAGUAAGUGAUAAUAUUAAACUAAAAAUCUUGAGAACGUGGACAGUAGCAAUAUGUUAAAUUUUUAAAAAAUGCAACGUUUCGUUUUUAUUUCUAACUUCUUCAGGCAUAUUUUGAGGAUGUUAACCUAUGUUAAAAUAUGCCUGAAAAAGUUGGAAACAAAGUGAAUAAAACGUUGCAUUUUUCAAAAAUUUAACAUCUUAUUGCUAUUUUCCACGUUCCCAAAAUUUGUUGUUUAAUAUUUCGUAAAACAUGGAUGAGAAUCUACAAAUGGGGUCGCCAGUCUUCUUUCGGCUUUCGACUUGACCAGAUCGUAUAGAAAUAACGUUGAUGUGGGCGUUGACAAGUGUUUUUUGGAUCAAAAAAAUUAUUUUGAAGCAAAAUACAAUAUUUUUAACAUUACACAUUUUUAAUAAUCAGCUGAAGCAAUGUUAAAAACCGCUUUUGAACUGGAUAAAAAAUAACGGAGAACCCAAUUUUGUGUGAAACUAAUUUUUCAAUUCAAGGAUCAAAAUUAUUGGCUAACAAACCAGAUUAAUGUCUAUUAAUUAUUGUUAUUACUCUUCAUAACUCAUGAGUAUUAUACCUUUGAAUUCCCUGAAGUCGAAGUCAUCACCGGAAAACAACUUCGUGGGCAUGAUUUGAUAAAUUUAUCUUGUUAAUAAAACAAUCUGCUGAUUUAACUAAACAAAUAUAAGUCAAUAAAAAAACAACAACGUAAAACAAAGUUAACGACGUUUCAAUGAAUUGGUCUGAUCGUUGUCAGCUCGUUAGUGCCCGUCCUCUGAAAGCUCGUUAACUUUCCAUUAAUCUUCAAUUUAUGGAGUAAAAUAGCUUAUCGGCUCGCAGCAAUUGCAAUCAAUGGUUCUGCGGUCUCGGCCGACCAGACUAGUGUCUCUAUCAAAUUAUUGGCUGUCUGCUAAUUUACCUACCAAGAAAAUUUAUUUGAAAAUGUUUAAAGCUCAAGAACGUGGAGAAGGAAAAGGCGUGAAAAGCCAGAAAUGAAAUAAAAAAUAAAGUAAAGAGUAGGGAGCCCAAAGGUGUUGCGCGUGCUCGAGACAGAGUCGAGAGGAUGCAGACAGACGAUGAUUAUCCCUGCAAAACUUGCCGGGGUCGCAUAUGCACGAAAUAAAUUUUUCUUCUUCGAAAUUUUUCUUUAAGGAAGUUCGAGCGUAACUAAUGAGUCAAAAUAAUGUUAAAA